AAUAUUGUACACUGGGUGCAAGCCUGAUCCAGCCAUGCCGCGUGAGUGAUGAAGGCCCUAGGGUUGUAAAGCUCUUUCAACGGUGAAGAUAAUGACGGUAACUGUAGAAGAAGCCCCUGCCACCUUCCUACCAGCAGCCGCGGUAAUACGAAGGGGGCUAGCGUUGUUCGGAAUUACUGGGCGUAAAGCGCACGUAGGCGGUUUGGUCAGUUAGGGGUGAAAACCAAGGGCUCAACCCUGGAACUGCUUUUAAUACUGCCAGUCUAGAGUUCGAGAGAGGUGAGUGGAAUUCCGAGUGUAGAGGUGAAAUUCGUAGAUAUUCGGAGGAACACCAGUGGCGAAGGCGGCUCACUGGCUCGAUACUGACGCUGACGUGCGAAAGCGUGGGGAGCAAACA
rnacentral:rRNA from 1 species